rnacentral:lncRNA from 1 species
GUUGGUGUUUGCUGUUGUUUUUGCUAAACUUAAAACCUCUGUAUAAAAGGUAGAUGCAAGCAUUUUCAAAGCAACUUACUUCCAUUUUGUAAUAGCCUAUGAGAUCAGUCUUGAACAAACAGAGGAAGGGAGGUUCUGAAUUAAAAAGCAUUUUUACAGCAUCCAGUAAUGCAAUGGCUGGACGACCACGAUGUGUCAGAUUAACUGGGUGGACACACUGGAUAUUAUCAACAAUUCUGCUGCUGUGGAGUUACCAGAUCAGUGGACAAGGACAAGAUAUUAAAAGCUGACCAAAGAACCCAUGCAGCAUAUCUGUGGGAUAAGUUAUGAAGAUUUUGCAGCUAAUCACCAGGCAUGCAAAAAGGUUUUCUGUGAUGUAAAUUGUGUAGAAAAAAGUGAGUUGUUGUUUUAAAGACUUUGUUCCUUUAAAAAAGCUCUCAUACUGUAGUCGCUGGCUUGAAAAAAAAAAAAAAAGUAUUUGAAGAAUUAUUGUGGUAUUGUAUUAAAAUGCAAGUAUGGUACAUGUUUGUUUUAUGAAAUAUUGAUGAAUGGUGAAGCUAUUUCUGCUGUGCACAUUGGAAAGAAAUGCUGAAACAGUAACUUUAAAGAAUUUGUUUUGUGUUCACUUGUACUGUGAAAGGUACUUUAGAGGCUUCUGAACAUAUUUAGAAUUUCUGGAUGAUGAGAGGCAUUGGGUAUUGCACAUUUGAGUUGAUCUUAUGGUUUUGUAUGAGUAGAUGCUUACGCACAUGUUUAGUCUUGGUCAUAUGAGCAUUGACAUAAAUUCCAAGCUGGCAAGUGUUGCCUUGAAACAAAGCAAUGGAUUAGAAAAUGCUAGGUUAGUACUACUACACCUCUCGUGGAGGAGAAGUUUGGUCAUGUCUCCUGUUUGUUUUCUGUAAUUAACAAAACACAGCUUUAUUGCAUUUAAGGUUUAAAUUAUCUAAAAUGUUAUCUUCUCUGUUAAUGUAAAAAAGUGGCAAUAACUUCUUGAUGGGGACAAAAGAUGUGAAACUUGAGCAAUGCUAUUUUGUUUUAAUUCGAAAUCAUAUGGUUAGGUUGUUUUUGUGGCUUGUGUAUAUUAAGAAAUUCAUUUAAUUAGGCCCAAAGUUACAAAGCUGGCUAUGUUUCAGUGUUGGUAGACUUAUACUGUGCUGUGAUAGAAGUUUAGUAUAUCCUUUUGAUAAUACAUACUGCAACUGCUGAUGACUACUUAAACCUUCAAGUGAAAUGUGAAUCCUUAAUCCUCUAGCAAUUAAGUAGUAAAUUAAAAGCAGGUAACAUACUUUCUCAGUAUAAUGAUAUGUACAGGGUGUUUAGAAGAUAUGAAAUUUCUUUAAGUUACCAGACGUAUCUUUGAAUUUUGCUGUGGAUUUCUAUUUUACAUUUUUGUUUGAAGUAAAAGAAAAAAAAAUGUAAAGCCUUGCAGGAAACUGAAAAGUAAAGGAGAACUCAAGUAAUUUGAGUAAAAUUGUGAUGUGUGAAUAUUCAGAGUCUACCAGGACAAUAAAAUGAAGAAAUAAUUAUCCUGUAUCUGGGCA